rnacentral:rRNA from 1 species
UUACGGGAGGCAGCAGUAGGGAAUCUUCCGCAAUGGACGCAAGUCUGACGGAGCAACGCCGCGUGAGUGACGAAGGUUUUCGGAUCGUAAAACUCUGUUGUGAGGGAAGAACACGUACCAGGUAACUACUGGUACCUUGACGGUACCUCACCAGAAAGCCACGGCUAACUACGUGCCAGCAGCCGCGGUAAUACGUAGGUGGCAAGCGUUGUCCGGAAUUAUUGGGCGUAAAGCGCGCGCAGGCGGUCCUUUAAGUCUGAUGUGAAAGCCCACGGCUCAACCGUGGAGGGUCAUUGGAAACUGGAGGACUUGAGUGCAGAAGAGGAAAGUGGAAUUCCAUGUGUAGCGGUGAAAUGCGUAGAGAUGUGGAGGAACACCAGUGGCGAAGGCGACUUUCUGGUCUGUAACUGACGCUGAGGCGCGAAAGCGUGGGGAGCAAACAGGAUUAGAUACCCUGGUAG